CAUGCAGUCGAACGAUGAUCAGGAGCUUGCUCUUGUGAUUAGUGGCGAACGGGUGAGUAACACGUGAGUAACCUGCCCCUGACUCUGGGAUAAGCGUUGGAAACGACGUCUAAUACUGGAUAGGACUACUGGCCGCAUGGUCUGGUGGUGGAAAGAUUUUUUGGUUGGGGAUGGACUCGCGGCCUAUCAGCUUGUUGGUGAGGUAAUGGCUCACCAAGGCGACGACGGGUAGCCGGCCUGAGAGGGUGACCGGCCACACUGGGACUGAGACACGGCCCAGACUCCUACGGGAGGCAGCAGUGGGGAAUAUUGCACAAUGGGCGAAAGCCUGAUGCAGCAACGCCGCGUGAGGGAUGACGGCCUUCGGGUUGUAAACCUCUUUUAGUAGGGAAGAAGCGAAAGUGACGGUACCUGCAGAAAAAGCACCGGCUAACUACGUGCCCAGCAGCCGCGGUAAUACGUAGGGUGCAAGCGUUGUCCGGAAUUAUUGGGCGUAAAGAGCUCGUAGGCGGUUUGUCGCGUCUGCUGUGAAAUCCCGAGGCUCAACCUCGGGCUUGCAGUGGGUACGGGCAGACUAGAGUGCGGUAGGGGAGAUUGGAAUUCCUGGUGUAGCGGUGGAAUGCGCAGAUAUCAGGAGGAACACCGAUGGCGAAGGCAGAUCUCUGGGCCGUAACUGACGCUGAGGAGCGAAAGCAUGGGGAGCGAACAGGAUUAGAUACCCUGGUAGUCCAUGCCGUAAACGUUGGGCGCUAGAUGUAGGGACCUUUCCACGGUUUCUGUGUCGUAGCUAACGCAUUAAGCGCCCCGCCUGGGGAGUACGGCCGCAAGGCUAAAACUCAAAGGAAUUGACGGGGGCCCGCACAAGCGGCGGAGCAUGCGGAUUAAUUCGAUGCAACGCGAAGAACCUUACCAAGGCUUGACAUACACCGGAAACGGCCAGAGAUGGUCGCCCCCUUGUCGUCGGUGUACAGGUGGUGCAUGGUUGUCGUCAGCUCGUGUCGUGAGAUGUUGGGUUAAGUCCCGCAACGAGCGCAACCCUCGUUCUAUGUUGCCAGCGCGUUAUGGCGGGGACUCAUAGGAGACUGCCGGGGUCAACUCGGAGGAAGGUGGGGAUGACGUCAAAUCAUCAUGCCCCUUAUGUCUUGGGCUUCACGCAUGCUACAAUGGCCGGUACAAAGGGCUGCGAUACCGUAAGGUGGAGCGAAUCCCAAAAAGCCGGUCUCAGUUCGGAUUGAGGUCUGCAACUCGACCUCAUGAAGUCGGAGUCGCUAGUAAUCGCAGAUCAGCAACGCUGCGGUGAAUACGUUCCCGGGCCUUGUACACACCGCCCGUCAAGUCAUGAAAGUCGGUAACACCCGAAGCCGGUGGCCUAACCCUUGUGGAAGGAGCCGUCG
rnacentral:rRNA from 2 species